rnacentral:sRNA from 16 species
GAAUUAUGGCUGCCCUCCAAUUUUUUGGAGAGCUUCUGCAUUGCGGUAAGGCUGCGCCCAACUGCACUCAGCCGCUCAUUCCACGCGGUUGUGAGCAUAAAAAGGUACCGCCUGGACUGCCAAGGGAAGC